UUGAAUUGUUUGAUUUGCCUCAG
rnacentral:piRNA from 1 species